AUGGCAUUUUUCACGCCUAGUUCAGGCCAUUGAGGCAUAACCCAGUGCAAAGCAUUACAAGCAUAAGCACCAUAUCCUCGCCUGUGCAGGACCUGGUAAAAUGGCUUGUGCAAGAAUCGAAGAUAAUAAGGUAAGUCAUUUAUUCUCUUCCACGAGUCAUUUUUCAAACUGUAAAUUUUCACCUCAUAAUCAUAAUCAAAAACCUCACACCCAUCAUCGUCACCAGAAAAAGUAGCCAUUCUAAUUAGUUUAUAAUCCUCAUUACUAGAAUCAUAUCCGAAACCGUAAAACACAUACCCAGUUUUUAAAGCUCUAUGCGGUGGCUUAAUUUCUGAAACUGGAAGUCUUUUACACUUUCUCGUUGAUAGGUUAUAGAAGGCGACAUCUCGCUCCGAAUUUCGCAAAGCCACCAACCCAUUACAUGAACCGACGGCUUCAGUACCCCCGCCGAUAUGUAAAGGGUGGACUAGGGUUUCAACUGAGGGUACAGAACCAGGGACAUCAAGGGAAUCGAAA
rnacentral:lncRNA from 1 species